AGAUCAUGGUGUGGGAAGUUCAUUAUUAAGCCGUUGUAUCUCUCCCAUGCUUCAUAAAGUGGCUCUCCAGCUUGUUGCUCAAAAUUGGCUAUGGCUUUCUUUAAAUUU